rnacentral:rRNA from 1 species
GAAGCUUGCUCUCGGGUGACGAGCGGCGGACGGGUGAGUAAUGUCUGGGAAACUGCCUGAUGGAGGGGGAUAACUACUGGAAACGGUAGCUAAUACCGCAUAACGUCGCAAGACCAAAGUGGGGGACCUUCGGGCCUCAUGCCAUCAGAUGUGCCCAGAUGGGAUUAGCUAGUAGGUGGGGUAACGGCUCACCUAGGCGACGAUCCCUAGCUGGUCUGAGAGGAUGACCAGCCACACUGGAACUGAGACACGGUCCAGACUCCUACGGGAGGCAGCAGUGGGGAAUAUUGCACAAUGGGCGCAAGCCUGAUGCAGCCAUGCCGCGUGUGUGAAGAAGGCCUUCGGGUUGUAAAGCACUUUCAGCGGGGAGGAAGGCGAUAAGGUUAAUAACCUCAUCGAUUGACGUUACCCGCAGAAGAAGCACCGGCUAACUCCGUGCCAGCAGCCGCGGUAAUACGGAGGGUGCAAGCGUUAAUCGGAAUUACUGGGCGUAAAGCGCACGCAGGCGGUCUGUCAAGUCGGAUGUGAAAUCCCCGGGCUCAACCUGGGAACUGCAUUCGAAACUGGCAGGCUAGAGUCUUGUAGAGGGGGGUAGAAUUCCAGGGUGUAGCGGUGAAAUGCGUAGAGAUCUGGGAGGAAUACCGGGGGGCGAAGGGCGGCCCCCUGGGACAAGACUGACGCUCAGGUGCGAAAGCGUGGGGGAGCAAACAGGAUUAGAUACCCUGGGUAGUCCACGCCGUAACGAUGUCGAUUUGGAGGUUGUGCCCUUGAGGC